rnacentral:piRNA from 1 species
UAGGGAAUUGCGAAUUUGGUUAGUCCAGG